rnacentral:tRNA from 1 species
UGGCCCCAUGGCUGAGUUGGUCACAGCGUCCGACUGUUAAUCGGAAGGGCGAGAGUUGGAGCCUCUCUGGGACAG